AACGCGAAGAACCUUACCUGGGUUUGACAUGCACUAGACGCGUUCAGAAAUGGGCGUUCCCUUGUGGCUGGUGUGCAGGUGGUGCAUGGCUGUCGUCAGCUCGUGUCGUGAGAUGUUGGGUUAAGUCCCGCAACGAGCGCAACCCUCGUUCCAUGUUGCCAGCGCGUAGUGGCGGGGACUCAUGGGAGACUGCCGGGGUCAACUCGGAGGAAGGUGGGGAUGACGUCAAGUCAUCAUGCCCCUUAUGUCCAGGGCUUCACACAUGCUACAAUGGCCUAUACAGAGGGCUGCGAGACCCUGAAGUGGAACGAAUCCCUUAAAGUAGGUCUCAAUUCGGAACGGGGUCUGCAACUUGACCCCCUGAAGUUGGAGUCGCUAGUAAUCGCAGAUCAGCAACGCUGCCGUGAAUACGUUCCCGGGUCUUGUACACACCG
rnacentral:rRNA from 1 species